GUUUCCUGGAGAGUCCAGGAUGUGGACUUGAAACUCUGAGAUUGUUGAGCUGUGGUUUGUCAAAGAUCAGCUGUGAUUAUCUGGCAGCAGCUCUGAAGUCCAACCCCUCCCAUCUGAGAGAGCUGGACCUGUGCUACAAUGACCUGCAGGAUCCAGAUUUGUCUGAGCUGGUUGAUCUUCAGGAGAGUCUAGACUACAGACUGGAGACUCUGGAGUGGGGGUAUCCAUAGACUGGCUCGCUGAGAGAGGAUGAGCUGUGUCCUGUUUAGAGCCCUGUAAUAGUGACGUGUCCUGACAUGGACCCUGUCUCUCACCACUGCUCCAGGCCCAAACACUGAGCUAGUGAAGCAGAAGAAAAUAGGUGGUAUAAAAAUUCAGAAUAAAAAUGUCAAUAAACGUUAUUCAUAAAUUUAA